UGGGGAAUAUUGCACAAUGGGCGCAAGCCUGAUGCAGCGACGCCGCGUGGGGGAUGACGGCCUUCGGGUUGUAAACUCCUUUCGCUAGGGACGAAGCUUUUUGUGACGGUACCUAGAUAAGAAGCACCGGCUAACUACGUGCCAGCAGCCGCGGUAAUACGUAGGGUGCGAGCGUUGUCCGGAAUUACUGGGCGUAAAGGGCUCGUAGGUGGUUUGUCGCGUCGUCUGUGAAAUUCCGGGGCUUAACUCCGGGCGUGCAGGCGAUACGGGCAUAACUUGAGUACUGUAGGGGUAACUGGAAUUCCUGGUGUAGCGGUGAAAUGCGCAGAUAUCAGGAGGAACACCGAUGGCGAAGGCAGGUUACUGGGCAGUUACUGACGCUGAGGAGCGAAAGCAUGGGUAGCGAACAGG
rnacentral:rRNA from 8 species